rnacentral:rRNA from 1 species
AUUGAACGCUGGCGGCAGGCCUAACACAUGCAAGUCGAACGAGCGGCGGACGGGUGAGUAAUGUAUGGGGAUCUGCCCGCUAGAGGGGGAUAACUACUGGAAACGGUGGCUAAUACCGCAUACCUUCGGAUGUGCCCAUAUGGGAUUAGCUAGUAGGUAAGGUAAUGGCUUACCUAGGCGACGAUCCCUAGCUGGUCUGAGAGGAUGACCAGCCACACUGGGACGGAGACACGGCCCAGACUCCUACGGGAGGCAGCAGUGGGGAAUAUUGCACAAUGGGCGCAAGCCUGAUGCAGCCAUGCCGCGUGUAUGAAGAAGGCCCUAGGGUUGUAAAGUACUUUCCGUCGGGAGGCGUUACCUACAGAAGAAGCACCGGCUAACUCCGUGCCAGCAGCCGCGGUAAUAC